AGGUGAGAGGAACUACACCUUGUUCGCUGAGUCCCAGUUUGUCUAAUCUUCACGUUUCGUCAGCCAACACGGAUGAAAACCCCCGUGACCGCAUGACGCCGAGGACUGUGUGGCUUCAGUCCGCUCACAUUCCACUCGACAGGGUAGAUGGAACAGAUUACACUCUGAAAGAAGGAUAACCACUAAGCUAUUUCUGCCGCGUGGGGAAUCGUGGGAAAACCACCUACAUUGGGUCGUGCCAAAAAGCAUCAGUGACUCUCAG
ensembl:lncRNA